AUAUGGAUAGAUUUUAUUGGAUUAAUUUGAUAGUAAUUGAGAAUUUAUUUGGAUUUUAUUUAAAGAAAUUAUUUGUAGUAUUUAAAUUUAUUAAUAUAAUAAUUUAUGAUUUAGAAAUAAUAUUAAGUAUAGACUAAAUUUGUGCCAGCAGUUGCGGUUAUACAAAUUAUGCAAUUUAAUUAUUUUAAUUUAAAUUAACUUUAAGUGGGAGUUUGUUUAAUUAAUUAUACUGAGGUGAAAUUCUAUAAUUUAUAAUAAUAACUUAUUUGAGUUAGUAAAAUUUUUAAAUUUUAAUAAUAGACUAGGAUUAGAUACCCUAUUAUUUAAAUAAUUGCAAUAAAAAUUAAAUUAUUAAUAGUUAUGUUCUUUAAAAUUAAAAAAUUUGGCGGUAUUUUAAUCUUUUCAGAGGAACCUGUUUGUUAAAUGAUACUCCACGAUUUAAUUUACUUAUAUUAUAAGCUUAUAUAUCGUUGUUAUAAGUAUUUUAAAAGAAAAUUAAUAUUUAAAUAGUAUGAUAAUAAUAAAAAUCAAAUCAAGAUGUAGUGUAUAUAUGAGUAUAAAUGGGUUACAUUAGUUUUAACUGAGGAUUCAGAUUUUUAAAAAUCUUUUUAAUAUGGAUUUGAUAGUAAUUUUAAUUAUUUUAUUAAAAUGAUAUAGCUCUAAAAUAUGUACAUAUUGCCCGUCGCUUUCAUUUAAAAUGAAAUAAGUCGUAACAAAGUAAGUUUACUGGAAAGUGAAUUUAGAUUCAA
rnacentral:ncRNA from 1 species